ACGAAGGGUGCAAGCGUUAAUCGGAAUUACUGGGCGUAAAGGGUGCGUAGGCGGUUCGUUAAGUCUGUCGUGAAAUCCCCGGGCUCAACCUGGGAAUGGCGAUGGAUACUGGCGAGCUAGAGUGUGUCAGAGGAUGGUGGAAUUCCCGGUGUAGCGGUGAAAUGCGUAGAGAUCGGGAGGAACACCCGUGGCGAAGGCGGCUCACUGGGCUGACCUUGGCGCUGAGGCGCGAAGGCGUGGGGAGCGAACGGGA
rnacentral:rRNA from 1 species